GACGAACCGUGCGAACGUUGUUCGGAAUCACUGGGCUUAAAGGGCGCGUAGGCGGCGCAUCAAGUCCGGGGUGAAAGCCCCCAGCUCAACUGGGGAAGUGCCUCGGAUACUGGUGCGCUCGAGGGAGGUAGGGGCGGAUGGAACUUCCGGUGGAGCGGUGAAAUGCGUUGAUAUCGGAAGGAACGCCGGUGGCGAAAGCGAUCCGCUGGCCCUCUUCUGACGCUGAGGCGCGAAAGCCAGGGGAGCAAACGGG
rnacentral:rRNA from 1 species